GCUCCCGCAGACCAUAGCGUCUGGCCGCCCCGGAGCACUCAAAGGCUUUCCAGGCCCAGCACCGCGCUAGCCCGGAAUCGGAACCCUUAGAGGUGCCUUAGGCGGUAUCCCCGAGCUGACAGCAUCACCCCGUCCCGCGUCCUCCUCCCCUCUGUUUUGUUUUUCACCCCUCCCUCCUCCCUCCAGUCCGCGACGACUGGCUCUAGACCCGGCUCUGGCCUCGCUGAAGGCUUCUGGUUACUCCCAUUCCCACCCUAUCCUUUAAUUUUAUUCUUUUGAAGAAUCUGCAUUUCAAGCUAUCAAGUUGGAGAGAGUGAUUGCAGAAAGAAGUGUUCAUUGUUCAGGUUCAAAACCGAAGAGAACAAAUUACUCCCAGGAUCGAGUACUGAUGUACUGAAUCUGUUGAACAGUUCAAAACAGCAAACUGACUGUACAGGCUAGAGAACACUACGAAAGGAGCACAUCCAGUCAGAUUAACUACAGAAGUCCUGUCUACCCACACCCAUCUCCGUCCAUGGCUGAGAGUCAACCUAAAACCUCUCAGGAAGGGUAGGCAAGUGCUCUACUGCUAAAUUACAUUCCUAUCCCAAGAGAAAAAUCUACUCAGCCACUCUUGCCAUAUGGGAAUUUCAGGGUCAUAUUUUAAGAUUUUUCCAAAAAAAAAAAAAGAUGGAAAUCUUUUCUUUGCAUAUAAUCUCUUAAUAUUUCAGUGUCAAGUUGCUUAAAACAAUAUUAUGUGGUUCAGACCAAAUAAGGCUGCAAGUUUGCUUCUCUGGUUCAUACAAUGUUGAAAUUGAGAAGGAAGAGCUCUGUACUUCAGAUACAAGACUAGGAAAUCCUUAAGCAGAAAUGAUAGUAACACACCAAGAAUAGUGUGUGAUGGAAUAAUAACCAAUGAGGUGGGUGGUGCAGGAAUCCCAGGCACAGACAACAAAAAUAUUUAGGAAGCUGAGGCAGGAAGAUACCAAGUAUGAGGCCAUCCUGAGUUACAUGGUGAGAGGCUCAAAAAAACAAAAAUGAUACUUGACAUGAUUAGUUAAAAACAAUGUGAAAAGCCAGGCAGUGGUGGGGCACACCCUUAACUACAGCAAAGGCAGGAGGAACCCCCACCCCACCCCCAGACAGGGUUUCUCUGUGUAGUUUUGGUG